rnacentral:lncRNA from 7 species
AGUGACCUCUUGAAGUCACCUGGUCAAACCUUGGUUUAUUUUGAAUGAAACAGCAUCAUACCAGACACUCUGAAGAAAACAAUUCUAUCCCAGCUGAAACUAAGACACCAGGAUGACGUCCAGACAAUUUAUGAAGAUCUCUAAGAAGGAGACUCCAGAGCCUCUCUGUGCCAAUACUCAGUCACCUGCACAGCACAGAAAUGUUCAGGCAGAGCAUCCUCUGUUCCUGUUUGUUCCCCUUGCUUUUUGUCCUGGCAAUGGGCAUUACUGAAUAGAACCUGAAUUGGUUAUUUGCACCCUCCCUUCAGUUAUUUAUAGGCAUUGAUGAGAUCCCCCCCCAAGCCUUCUCCAGGCUGAACAGUCCCAGCUCUCAGCCUUUCCUCACAGGAGAGAUGCCCCAGUCCUUCCAUCAUCAUGGUAACCCUUUGUUAGACUCUUUCCAGUGUUUCCAUGUCUCUCUUGUACCGGGGGAAUCCAGGCUGGACCCAGUACUUGAGAUGUGGCUUCAACAGUGCUGGGCAGAGGGGAAGAAUCACUCACCUUGUCCUGAUGGUAUUAUGUCCCAGGGUAUCAUCAGACGUUUAGACUUUUUUUCAGCAGUGGCCCAUUACUGGCUCAUGUCAAACUUGGUGCCCACCAGAGCUACCUGGCCCUUUUCUUCAAAGUUGCUUUCCAGCUGAGUGACACCCAGCAUGUGCUGAUGCCUGGGGUUGUUCCUUCCAACACACAGUUCUUUGCAUUUCCCUUUGUUGAGCUUCUUGAGGAUCCUGUCAGCCCAGUUCUCCAUCCUGUUGAGGUUCGUCUGGAUGACAGCACAACCCUCUUGUGUAUUUUAUGGAAAGGAAGAGGAUCAAAGCUGCUGGAGACUUCAGAUGAGCGGAUACCAGAGGGAGACCUCUCCAGGAGCCAUGGGUGGAAUAGACCCCAUUUGCAGUUCAGUUACAUAACAUUUGGAGCAUUCUAGAGCUUCUGCACUUCUAAUCCAUAAGUCACUGCAGGAAGGACACACUGAUUGGAAACCUCUCACUCCAGACAGAAUGGUCUGCACUGUUCACCUGCAUGGAUAAUGAUUUUCCAGUACCCAGGACUUGAAACUGCCAACUUAUGCUUGUCUACAAGACUACUCUGCUAAAGUACUGUAUUUCAGAAAGCGAAUGCCACAUCUCCUGCUGACCAGAGCAGAUGCUGCUUCUCCCCUGAUUGAGUGGGUUCCAAAUUUUGCAUGCCUAUACUUGCAUCUUGCAUGUGGGAAUUAACCCUGAACCUGACUAUAUUAAACCUGACAGCCUUCCAGGCCCCUCCAGCUGUCACAAAAAUAAAUUCUCUAC